GACGAACGCUGGCGGCGUGCCUAAUACAUGCAAGUAGAACGCUGAAGGAGGAGCUUGCUCUUCUGGAUGAGUUGCGAACGGGUGAGUAACGCGUAGGUAACCUGCCUGGUAGCGGGGGAUAACUAUUGGAAACGAUAGCUAAUACCGCAUAACAGUAGAUGUUGCAUGACAUUUACUUAAAAGGUGCAAUUGCAUCACUACCAGAUGGACCUGCGUUGUAUUAGCUAGUUGGUGGGGUAACGGCUCACCAAGGCGACGAUACAUAGCCGACCUGGGAGGGUGGUCGGCCACACUGGGACUGAGACACGGGCCAGACUCCUUCGGGAGGCAGCAGUAGGGAAUCUUUGGCAAUGGGCGGAAGUCUGACCGAGCAACGCCGCGUGAGGGAAGAAGGUUUUCGGAUCGGAAAGCUCUGUUGUAAGGGAAGAAAGAGUGUGAGAGUGGAAAGUUCACACUGUGACGGUAUCUUACCAGAAAGGGACGGCUAACUACGUG
rnacentral:rRNA from 1 species